UACGAGGGGGGCAAGCGUUGUUCGGAAUUAUUGGGCGUAAGGUGCGUGAGAGCGGUUUGACAAGUUCUGAUGUGAAAUCUAUGGGACUCAACCCAUAAGUCUGCAUCGGAAACUGUCGGGCUUGAGUAUGGGAGAGGUGAGUGGAAUUUCCGGUGUAGCGGUGAAAUGCGUAGAUAUCGGAAGGAACACCUGUGGCGAAAGCGGCUCACUGGACCAUUACUGACGCUGAUGCACGAAAGCUAGGGGAGCAAACAGG
rnacentral:rRNA from 1 species